rnacentral:sRNA from 1 species
GAAAAGCAUCAGAGCUGGAAAGACUGGCACUCUGGCCUGGACUAGCAGCCUCUCCCAGCACAGUCCACAGCAAGCCAGUCUCAGAUGUGGCUCGACCGGCCUGGCUUGGGCCAAAAGCCUGGCAUGAAUGUGAGAUGUUAGAGCUGCUGCCCCCAUUUGUUGGCCUGUGUGCCUCCCUGGCAGGCCACUCCAGUGCUUGGCAGGCUUACCUGUCACUGUCAUCCACAGUGCUGGGUCCUGCACCUGGGCCAGGGCCUGAGCCACUCAGCCUCCUCCAGAAGCUGAUCCUGUGGCGCGUUCUGCGACCUGAGUGCCUGGCAGGUGCCCUGGCAGACUUCACCACUAGCCUCCUGGGUCGGCCCCUGGAUGAAAACAUGUAUGCUCCCACCAUGCCCUUUAAACAUAGUCAGGCUACUCAGCCCAUGCUGAUCUUGUUGCCACCGCCUGGCCACCCCUCAGCCACUCUGCAUCCUCUGACUGUCAUCCAGAAACUGGCUGCCAAGUAUCAGCAGGGGCAGAAGCAACUGCAGGUGAUAGCCCUGGGCUCUGAAGCCUGGGACCCAGUCUCAGUUGUGGUCAGCACUCUAUCCCAGGCUAUGUAUGAGGGGCACUGGCUGGUGCUGGACAACUGUCAUCUGAUGCCCCAUUGGCCGAAAGAGCUGCUACAGCUCUUGCUGGAACUGUUAGGCAGAGCCAAGGUGGUUGCAGACCUGGAAUCAGAACAGCUUUUAGACCAACCUGAAAGCAGGAAUGUAAGCACUGUUCACAGAGAUUUUCGUCUUUGGCUUAUUGUGCCUGCAGAGUCUAGUGCUUCUUUGCCAGCUGUGCUGACUCAGCACUCCAUGCCUGUUUUCUGGAACCAGUCCCUGGAGCUGGGCCAUGUUUUGAUUGACAGUGUGGAGCUAGCCCAGCAAGUACUCUACAUGCAACCCCCCACCCAGGCACUACCUCUGCUCCUCCUCCAUGGCCUCCUGCUACACCGGCAGCUCUAUGGAACAAGGCUGCAGGCGCACAGGGGGCGCUGGAGUCAAGUGACUCUAACCCAGGUUCUUCAGACCCAAGAUCAGCUGUGGGCAAGUCUUAGCAAUCCCCGUGCUGCCAUGCAAGAGCUGGCUGGUGAGACCCUUCCUCUCCCCCUUGGAGUCAUCAGCCCCCAGGAGAGCCUAGAAGAGGGUGGGGGUGGGAUAUAAUUCACAGCUUUGGUUUUGGCGGUGGUGGAAACUGAAGGUACUGGAACUGAGAGACUCUAACCUCAUCUUCAGCUUCAGUUUUCUACGGGGGUCCUCUGGGGGACACUGAGGACAGGGAGGCCCUGAUUAGCCUCACACAAGCCUGCCUGAGCCCCAGUAGCGGGAGCUGGGUCCAGCCACACACACCUCAGUCUUUGCUGGCCACGCUCAUGCCCCUCCCAGGUAAGCCUCACUCAGGUAUCUGUUUUGGGGUAGGGAAUAGUGCAAUGCAAUGCCACCCCCCACAGAAAUGUGGACAGCAGUCUCAAUAAAGGUAUAUGAGGGGGUAAUAUUCAUACUGUUAUGGGGGUGAUGGCAGUAAAGGAUCAGAGGAAGGCCUACUCUCUCGAGUCUAGGGUGGGGAGAGUCCAUCUUAUCCCUCACCCCUCACCUCUAUCCCCAAGAGCUAAGGGAGCUGGAUGCAAUGGCAGAGUGCAAGGCCCAGAUGCACCUACUGCCCUCACCACCUGAACCCCGGCUCUGCGGACUGAGUGAGGGCCCCCAAGCCUGGCUGUUGCGACGCCAGAGUCGCGCUCUCUUGAGUGCGCUGCAGCGGAGUUCACCCGUGUGGGUUCCUGAGUCUCGAAGAGGCGCCCAGCUUGCGGAAAGGCGACUGCGGCAACGCCUAGUGCAAGUCAACCGGAGGCUGGAGUCACUGCACGAUCUGCUGACCCACGUGAUUCGCCAAGACGAGUCUGGCGCCCCGUGGUCAGUGCUGGGGCCAAAUGCACGGCGGCCUCUGGAGGGCGUCUUAGAGACCGAGGCUCUAGAACUGAGCCAGUUGGUGGGCACGCUACAAGGCGACCUUGAUUGCCUGUUGCAGCAGCUGAAGGGCGCACCCCCGUGCCCCUCCCGCCGCUGUGCUGCGGUGGCCCACGCUCUCUGGACUGGCCGCCUACCCUUGCCUUGGCGACCUCAUGCGCCGGCCGGUCCGCAGCCGCCCUGGCACUGGCUGCGACAGUUGUCGCGCCGUGGGCAACUGUUGGUUCGUUACUUGGGCGUGGGCGCGGACGCGAGCAGUGAUGUACCAGAGCGCGUCUUCCACCUGUCAGCCUUUCGCCACCCGCGCCGCCUGCUGCUGGCAUUGCGUGGGGAAGCUGCCCUGGACCAGAAUGUGCCCAGCUCGAAUUUCCCUGGUAGCCGAGGCUCGGUCUCCAGUCAGCUCCAGUAUAAACGUCUGGAGAUGAACAGCAACCCUCUGCACUUCAGGGUGGAGAAUGGUCCAAACCCCACGGUUCCAGAGAGAGGGCUGCUGCUGAUCGGGCUACAGGUCCUACAUGCGGAGUGGGACCCAAUAGCUGGAGCCUUGCAGGACAGUCCUUCCAGCCAACCCAGCCCUCUGCCUCCCGUCAGCAUCAGCACACAGGCCCCGGGCACCAGUGACCUGCCAGCCCCAGCCGACCUGACUGUGUACUCGUGUCCUGUGUACAUGGGAGGGCCCCUUGGCACCGCUAAGCUGCAGAGCAGGAACAUCGUGAUGCAUCUGCCCUUACCCACCAAGCUCACCCCCAACACCUGUGUCCAAAGGAGGGUCCAUGUGUGCAGCCCACCCCUGUCUUGAGCCCGUCUACCAAAAUAAAGUUGUAGUGAUUCCAUGAAAGA